GAACCGUACAAACGUUAUUCGGGAAUCACUGGGCUUAAAGGGUGCGUAGGCGGCUCUGCAAGUUGGGGUGUGAAAGCCCUCGGGCUUAACCGAGGAAUUGCGCCCAAAACUGCAGGGCUAGAGGGAGACAGAGGUGAGCGGAACUUAGGGUGGAGCGGUGAAAUGCGUUGAUAUCCUAAGGAACACCAGUGGCGAAGGCGGCUCACUGGGUCUCUUCUGACGCUGAGGCACGAAAGCUAGGGGAGCGAACGGGAUUAGAUACCCCGGUAGUCCUAGCUGUAAACGAUGAGCACUGGGCCGGAGAGUCCUCCAUAGCUUUCCGGCCGUAGCGAAAGUGUUAAGUGCGCCGCCUGGGGAGUAUGGUCGCAAAGGCUG
rnacentral:rRNA from 1 species